GCUGGGCACCAUGGCUCACGCCUGUAAUCCCCGCUACUUGGGAGGCUGAGGCAGGAGGAUCCCUUGAGCCCAGGAGGUCAAGGUUGCAGCGAGCUGUGAUCAGCACCACUGCACUCCAGCCUGGGCAACAGAGUGAGACCCUGUCUCAA
ensembl:misc_RNA Metazoa_SRP Metazoan signal recognition particle RNA